GGGCCGUUAGCUCAGCUUGGUGGAGCGUUCGACUGAUAAUCGAAAGGUCGAGGGUUCAAAUCCCUUACGGCCCACCA
rnacentral:tRNA from 2 species